rnacentral:tRNA from 1 species
GUUGUAGCUCAGUGAUAGAGCACUUGCCUAGCAUGUGUGAGGUACUGGGUUUGAUCCUCAGCACCACA